rnacentral:rRNA from 1 species
UUGAUCAUGGCUCAGGAUGAACGCUGGNGGCGUGCUUAACACAUGCAAGUCGAACGAAGCACUUUAUUACGAUUCUUCGGAAUGACGAUUGGUGACUGAGUGGCGGACGGGUGAGUAACGCGUGGGUAACCUGGCCUUAUACAGGGGGAUAACAGUUGGAAAUGACUGCUAAUACCGCAUAAGACCACGGAGUCGCAUGACUCAGUGGGAAAAACUCCGGUGGUAUGAGAUGGACCCGCGUCUGAUUAGGUAGUUGGUGGGGUAACGGCCUACCAAGCCGACGAUCAGUAGCCGACCUGAGAGGGUGACCGGCCACAUUGGGACUGAGACACGGCCCAAACUCCUACGGGAGGCAGCAGUGGGGAAUAUUGCACAAUGGGGGAAACCCUGAUGCAGCGACGCCGCGUGAGCGAAGAAGUAUUUCGGUAUGUAAAGCUCUAUCAGCAGGGAAGAAAAUGACGGUACCUGACUAAGAAGCACCGGCUAAAUACGUG